UGUACAAACUUUUAUAUGGUUAGAAAUUCACACGAUCUACAACUACAAUAUGAGACCAGAGUGACUAGUGCAAUCUAGAAUUUACGGUUUAUAUGGUUAGAAAUUUACACAAAACCUAAAACUGCCACUAAACAAUAAUAUAACCUUCUAAUACUCUUAAAUUAUCAUUUCUCUAUCCUAUGUAGCUUUCUAUAAAUACCAUCUUCUCCACUCCACUUUUCUGGUCUCAUAUCCACAACUUCAUUCCCAUUAAAACAACAAUAUCUUGCCUGCUUUUUCCCCUCAAGAAACCGUCAUGUACUCAUCACGUGCUCUGGGCCCCUGGUCGACCGGCCUCUCUUCGACUGCUUCUCCGACGUCAAAAACUGCUGCUUAACUUUCUGGUGUCCUUGCGUUACCUUUGGCCGAAUUGCUGAGAUCGUAGACAAAGGAUCCACAUAUAUAAUGAAUAUAUAUCACAGCUUGUGGAGCGAGUGGGGCGCUGUACACACUGAUAGCGUGGACGAAGAAAAGAUGGAUAGGGUAGAAAUGACGGAAAGUGUCAAAGAAAUGAUGGAUAAAUAUAAUUUUCCUUAAAAUUAUACGGUAUAUGAUCGGAAAAAAUGAUUAUUGUUAUCAUUCUCCUUCAUUUGGUAUUUAAAAAGA